GCAGCCGCCGCGGGAAUACAGAGGGUGCGAGCGUUAAUCGGAUUUACUGGGCGUAAAGCGUGCGUAGGCGGCUAAUUGAGUCGGAUGUGAAAUCCCCGAGCUUAACUUGGGAAUUGCAUUCGAUACUGGUUAGCUAGAGUGUGGGAGAGGAUGGUAGAAUUCCAGGUGUAGCGGUGAAAUGCGUAGAGAUCUGGAGGAAUACCGAUGGCGAAGGCAGCCAUCUGGCCUAACACUGACGCUGAGGUACGAAAGCAUGGGGAGCAAACAGGAUUAGAUACCCCUGUAGUCCCUGUCUCUUAUAU
rnacentral:rRNA from 1 species